GAGAUGCAAGUAGAGGGCGGAGCAAGGGGACACGACGCCGUUUUAGGCAGCGGCGUCGGGCGGCGGAGGAAGGAAAUGCAGCAGAGCUCUUCUUUGUGGGGAUGGUUUUUCAUUGGAUCAGGGUCUCUCUUCCUUAUUGGUUUCCUCUACGCAACCGUCAUAUCCAAGCUUCUUCCCCCCUCCGAUAAUCCCAUCAUCUCCGCCGUCCAAAACGACCGGUAUUAUUGCUUCUUGGUGCCACUGACUCUCCCGGUCCUUGUGGUUGCUGUCUAUUUUCACUGGCUCAGCAUGAAGAUGUUCAAACAUGCCUGAUUUUUUUCCAUCAGGUAACUUGAUUCUUGAGAUUGGUGGAAGGUGAACUAUAUAUAGUGUAGUGAAAGUAAACAAAUUUGAAGAAUUUUUAUUGGUUAAUAUCCUCUGUUUGGAACAGUGACAUUCUUUCGAUCGGGUUUCAUCUAUGACAAGGUUUCGGAGGGGAUUUAUAUAGAAAGUAAAGUUCAAACGAUAAAAAUGCUGUUAAUUACUAAAUCAAGAUAUUUCAAAUGACCAACCAUCACCUUUGUUUGUUUGUUAAUCUGUUGUUUAUGUUCUAUAUGUCAACUUACUCGCAAUC